rnacentral:rRNA from 1 species
AGUAGCCACGGUAAUACGUAGGGUGCAAGCGUUAAUCGGAAUUACUGGGCGUAAAGCGUGCGCAGGCGGUUAUAUAAGACAGAUGUGAAAUCCCCGGGCUCAACCUGGGAACUGCAUUUGUGACUGUAUAGCUAGAGUACGGCAGAGGGGGAUGGAAUUCCGCGUGUAGCAGUGAAAUGCGUAGAUAUGCGGAGGAACACCGAUGGCGAAGGCAAUCCCCUGGGCCUGUACUGACGCUCAUGCACGAAAGCGUGGGGAGCAAACAGGAUUAGAUACCCCUGUAGUCCCUGUCUCUUAUACC